UACGUAGGGUGCAGGCGUUAAUCGGAAUUACAGGGCGUAAAGCGUGCGCAGGCGGUUUUUUAAGUCAGAUGUGAAAUCCCCGGGCUUAACCUGGGAACUGCGUUUGAAACUGGAAAGCUUGAGUGCGGCAGAGGGGGGUGGAAUUCCACGUGUAGCAGUGAAAUGCGUAGAUAUCUGGAGGAACACCGGUGGCGAAGGCGGCAUCCUGGACCAACACUGACACUGAGGAGCGAAAGCCAGGGGAGCAAACGGG
rnacentral:rRNA from 1 species